UAUAGAAUUCUUGAAUAUCUGGUUAUGAAUUCGUGUUUUAAUGUGACACUUUAAUGAAUAAAAAUAUAUAAAAAAAAUCAUUUGAAAAUAGAGAAGAGAAGAUGUGCUUUAAUGAGAUCAUUUUUGAAUGAUUGUGCGCUUUUAAUAUGACUUUUUAUGUGAAAAAAAUAAAAAAAAUAUUAAGAAAUUACUUACACUUUUAGAAUAGUAUAUAUAUAUAUAUAUAUAUAUAAUAGCAUAAUUAAUAUGAUUGUGCACAAGGAAAACAUAUGUACACAGGUCCAAAAGGGUAAAGCCCACAGUUGUAGUGGGAAACAAAAAUAAAUGGCAUAAGAUAAAUAAUCAAAUGGAUUAGCCCAGCCCAAACAACAAAUAGACCCAGAUGAAAUUGAUCCGAACUGAAUCCCUAUUGACCGUUAAGGUCACAAUUUCGGUAACAAGAGCAUAGGAUGAAGCUACCCUUGCUCCACUGGUUAAUCAGGGUGGGAUCAGUUUAGGGAGUUCCCAUUCAUUGAUUAUGUGAGGAGCAACGGGAGUGUCAGGAGCAAGACCAAGACCAUUAUUAGUAGCUUUAAGUCUCAUCGUGCUGAGUGUACAAUGCAACAAGGAAUUUGUAGAUAUGCACUUCUUGAAAAUUCUGUGUUUGCGUUCCGACUACACAUUGUAUAUCAGAGAAGUAAAGGCAAGGUGGUAUUGAUUUCCCCUUCCAAUGAUGGCAUCCCCAAGCUACCAAUUCAUUCUACCCACAACGUGUUUGAAUAAAUGUCCAAAUGAGAAAGAUGAAUGAACAUUGGAAGAAGAUAUGAUUGUGUGAUUCAGGUAUGAGUUCGUGCUUAGGAAUGUCUACUUAUCCAUGUUCCUUACUUGUUAAGAAAACUGUAUGAUGUCUCACUCAUGUAAGGAAAGUUGAUCUGGCCUUGUGGUAUCUCUUCUAUCUUCUAGUCCCAGAAGGGGUAAAAUGGGUGUGUGAGUUUAAAAAAGUUGUUGUUUUGAGAUCAAUAUUGAUUGAGUUCAGUUUUUCUCCCCUAAUUUCUCCUCCUCUUGUCUUUCUCUCAUCUCUUCUCUUCUAUAUCUCAUUUCUGUUUCUAUCUAUUCUACAUCACUUUUCAUCUCCAUGUUGGUAUGUAUUUUAUUUGGGGAAAAAAAAAAAAAAAAAAAAAAAAAAAUUUAAUGGUCUACCAAGUUUUAUAAAGUUUGCAGCUAUGCAGUUCUAUGUAUAUCUAUGAAACAUAAGACGAAAGCCAGAUACGGAACCAGAAAAUUUUGUGUGUGUGUUGCGGGGUUGGGGGAUAUUAAAAUUUCACAGGUAUAUAAUUCAAAACAAGAAAAAUCACAACUAUAUAAUACUAAAAAAAAUUUCCAGUAGGGGCAAUUUUAUAUAUACUAGGUCUGUGUCUGAUGAAAGCUGUUGGAUUUUAUUUUAUUUUAUUUAUUAUUAUUAUUUGUUAAUUCAUGUAAGCUAUUCUUAGUCAGGAUUUGAGUAGUUCCUUUCAUAAUUUUGUUUAUCUGGCCUGAUUUUGUAAAAAUUCAUGAAAAGUAUCAUUAAGUGGUUCUACAGUGUCUUCAUGGUGCUGCUGAUUUUGCUUCUUCCUGGUCUGGUUCUUGGAUGGAGGUAUGCAUCUUUCAUUUUUAUUAUGAGGUCAAUGUAUGCUUACCUGUUGAGUGCUUUGGGUUGCCAUUGCUUGAGUUUUUUUUUUUUUUUUUCCCUCUUUCUUUUUUGCACUACUGCAAAAUGCCAAAAACAAUAUCCAACAACAAGCGUGUUAUUAUAUAUGGAUGAUAUUCAGUUCUAUAGCACUGAAAUUCAAGUCCAAUAAGCUUCGCUUAGGACAACUCUGCCGAAUUUACAUCUCUAGCAGAGUUUGUUAUUAUCUGUGGUAGAUCCACAAUUUCUGUAAGAUACAGAAAACUAAAAACCGAACACAUAAAUCCACAACAAGAGCAAUAACACUCUGAAUUCUUCAAUCAUCUUUCUCUGAAACUUUAAUAUGAAUGCCAUCUUCAAAAUGUAGAAAUGGUUUUCGACCAACUUCUCCUCCUUUGAUUUUUGUCCACCUAUUCAAGAAUCGGAUUCUUAAAAACUAUUAGUAUUCAAUAAAAAAACACUUGCAUGUAAAUGUUUACAACCAGAAAAAAAUUACCUAUAUUUGGUGACCAAAACAUGGAGAAAUGUGGACAUGAACACCUUACUGUACUCUGCACCUGCACAUUGCCUUAUUCCUCCACCAAAAGGGUUGAAAUUCUUAGAUAUAGUAACUGAAUCAUAGUCCUAUGUUUCAUCGAAGCAAAUGACCAAGUAGAACAUUGCGUUAAUGAUUUAUGCUUUCUAAUGCCACUAAAAAUUAGAGCAUUACGUGAAAAGGUUUGAACAUUAAAGUUAAAAAUCAUUUUCCUCCAAAAAAAUGCAAUUGAAUUAUGUACCUUCCAACUCCACGGGUUGAAUGCAAGUGGAUCAUUAAAGGUGUUCGGAUUCAGAUGAUGAGCAGGAGUGACAAGCAACAUAGCCCAGCCUGCUGGAAUUGUAUAACCUGGAAACCAAUGGUUCAAUAUUGAGUAUUUUGAGGCCUUUUGAAUUUCAGAUCCACAUAUAAGUAUCUUAUAAUGAGAAUGGAAGAGAUUGAAUUUAACUACGUGCAAGUAUACCAUUCACUUGAAUAUCUUUCAGUGUUCUUCGUAACAACCCUGGGGCGACGUUUCCCAACCUAAGAAUUUCACUGACAACCUGUAAUUUCAGCAUCCAGGCAAGUUAGUUUAAACUUUAGAUAGUAAUUAGUAUGUGAGCAUGAAGAGAAAAAAUAUGGAGAUGAGAAAACUGACUUGAACUGUAAAAGUCAUGGAUUUGUAUUCAUCCCAUGUGAGCAUGGAAUUUGAAUUUCCUCUGUUCUUGAGUAUCAUCUCAUGUUCAGCCUGAGUUAUCAUCAGAGUAUAAAAAUUAAAUUACUAUAUUAUUUUUAUACAUAAAAAAAGAAAAAGAAAAAAAAGAUGGACAGCUUGAAAAACCUUUGAAACUGUAACUUUACUUACUUUCAGGUCCUCCACCGCUGAAGGGUUCUCAGAAAGAAACUUGAAAGCUAAUGUGAUUGCCGUUGAAAUUGACUCAAAACUGGCAAAUAAUGAUCCAAAAACAAACCCGAUUAUGAAGUCCUCCUUCAGGAAGGUGUGAGUAUUCAUGUCUUUAACAGCUUCAUCAAGGAGGUCCCCUCGACAUGUCUCAGGUUAUUAGAGGUUCCAGUCUCGAGGUUGAGGAUCCGCAGCUGGAAGACUGUCAUUCGUCUAUUCAUCUUGUGUACUUUUAAAUAGUAUUGGAUUAUUGGAUAAUGUUAUAAGGGGUCCUUGAGUUAUGGGAUUUCCGAAUUGUAAUUGUUGGAGAAUCAUUAAGUAAUAUUUAUUUAUUAGUUUUCUUCA